rnacentral:tRNA from 21 species
GGGCUAUUAGCUCAGUGGUAGAGCGCGCCCCUGAUAA